rnacentral:rRNA from 1 species
GUGGGGAAUAUUGCACAAUGGGCGCAAGCCUGAUGCAGCCAUGCCGCGUGUAUGAAGAAGGCCCUAGGGUUGUAAAGUACUUUCAGUCGGGAGGAAGGCGUUGAUGCUAAUAUCAUCAACGAUUGACGUUACCGACAGAAGAAGCACCGGCUAACUCCGUGCCAGCAGCCGCGGUAAUACGGAGGGUGCAAGCGUUAAUCGGAAUUACUGGGCGUAAAGCGCACGCAGGCGGUUGAUUAAGUUAGAUGUGAAAUCCCCGGGCUUAACCUGGGAAUGGCAUCUAAGACUGGUCAGCUAGAGUCUUGUAGAGGGGGGUAGAAUUCCAUGUGUAGCGGUGAAAUGCGUAGAGAUGUGGAGGAAUACCGGUGGCGAAGGCGGCCCCCUGGACAAAGACUGACGCUCAGGUGCGAAAGCGUGGGGAGCAAACAGGAUUAGAAACCCUAGUAGUCC